UAUUGCAUAGAGCGACGUUUCGGUGUGGAUCCGUACACCUUCAUCAAGCUAAAGGUCAUUCUACGCAAUAGCAAUAAGUUGUCAUCCAUAAAGUUGUUUGCUUCAUUAAUGACUCACCAACUUCCAGAAUGCCGAUCUAACAACUAUUUUGAUAAA